rnacentral:rRNA from 1 species
UACGGGGGGGCAAGCGUUGUUCGGAAUUACUGGGCGUAAAGGGCUCGUAGGCGGCCAACUAAGUCAGACGUGAAAUCCCUCGGCUUAACCGGGGAACUGCGUCUGAUACUGGAUGGCUUGAGAUUGGGAGAGGGAUGCGGAAUUCCAGGUGUAGCGGUGAAAUGCGUAGAUAUCUGGAGGAACACCGGUGGCGAAGGCGGCAUCCUGGACCAACACUGACGCUGAGGCGCGAAAGCUAGGGGAGCAAACAGG